GGCAUGGUGGCUCAGUGGUUAAGAGUGCCUGCCUCAUAAACGGGAGGUCGUGGGUUCGAACCCCGGCCGAGUCA
rnacentral:tRNA from 1 species